rnacentral:tRNA from 1 species
GUCUAAAUAGUUUAAGUUUAAAAUGCUGAUUUGUGGUGUCGGUGAUGUGACUGGGUUGCUUUGGACU